rnacentral:rRNA from 1 species
UCGCACGAAGGGUUUCGGCCUUAGUGGCGGACGGGUGAGUAACGCGUAGGUAUCUAUCCAUGGGGUGGGGGAUAACACUGGGAAACUGGUGCUAAUACCGCAUGACACCUGAGGGUCAAAGGCGUAAGUCGCCUGUGGAGGAGCCUGCGUUUGAUUAGCUAGUUGGUGGGGUAAAGGCCUACCAAGGCGAUGAUCAAUAGCUGGUUUGAGAGGAUGAUCAGCCACACUGGGACUGAGACACGGCCCAGACUCCUACGGGAGGCAGCAGUGGGGAAUAUUGGACAAUGGGGGCAACCCUGAUCCAGCAAUGCCGCGUGUGUGAAGAAGGUCUUCGGAUUGUAAAGCACUUUCGACGGGGACGAUGAUGACGGUACCCGUAGAAGAAGCCCCGGCUAACUUCGUGCCAGCAGCCGCGGUAAUACGAAGGGGGCUAGCGUUGCUCGGAAUGACUGGGCGUAAAGGGCGUGUAGGCGGUUUGUACAGUCAGAUGUGAAAUCCCCGGGCUUAACCUGGGAGCUGCAUUUGAUACGUGCAGACUAGAGUGUGAGAGAGGGUUGUGGAAUUCCCAGUGUAGAGGUGAAAUUCGUAGAUAUUGGGAAGAACACCGGUGGCGAAGGCGGCAACCUGGCUCAUUACUGACGCUGAGGCGCGAAAGCGUGGGGAGCAAACAGGAUUAGAUACCCUGGUAGUCCACGCUGUAAACGAUGUGUGCUAGAUGUUGGGUGACUUAGUCAUUCAGUGUCGCAGUUAACGCGUUAAGCACACCGCCUGGGGAGUACGGCCGCAAGGUUGAAACUCA